UUUCCGGUUGAUCCCGCCGGACCUGACUGCUAUCGGAUUGAUACUAAGCCAUGCGAGUCUUUGCAGUAAUGCAAGGCAUACGGCUCAGUAACACGUAGUCAACUUACCCUAUGGACGAGGAUAAUCUCGGGAAACUGAGCAUAAUACUCGAUAGAUCAUAAUGCCUGGAAUGGUUUAUGGUUAAAAUGAUUCGUCGCCAUAGGAUGGGACUGCGGCCUAUCAGCUUGUUGGUGAGGUAAUGGCCCACCAAGGCGAUUACAGGUACGGGCUCUGAGAGGAGAAGCCCGGAGAUGGGUACUGAGACAAGGACCCAGGCCCUAUGGGGCGCAGCAGGCGAGAAAACUUUUGCAAUGUGCGAAAGCACGACAAGGUUAAUCCGAGUGAUUUCUGCUAAAGAAAUCUUUUGCAAGUCAUAAAACCACUAGUGAAUAAGGGGUGGGCAAGUUCUGGUGUCAGCCGCCGCGGUAAAACCAGCACCUCAAGUGGUCAGGAGGAUUAUUGGGCCUAAAGCAUCCGUAGCCGGCUCUGUAAGUUUUCGGUUAAAUCCAUGUGCUCAACGCAUGGGCUGCCGAAAAUACUGCAUAGCUAGGGAGUGGGAGAGGUAGACGGCACUCGGUAGGAAGGGGUAAAAUCCUUUGAUCUAUCGAUGACCACCUGUGGCGAAGGCGGUCUACCAGAACACGUUCGACGGUGAGGGAUGAAAGCUGGGGGAGCAAACCGGAUUAGAUACC
rnacentral:rRNA from 1 species